GAUAAUUAUUAGGCAUCCAAUAAAAUUGGAACAAUGCAAAGAGGAUUGGCAUGGUCCUAUGCAAGGAUGACAUACACAAAUCGAGUAUUUGAUAGUUAUU